rnacentral:rRNA from 1 species
UCAGUUAUCGUUUAUUUGAUAGUACCUUACUACUUGGAUAACCGUGGUAAUUCUAGAGCUAAUACAUGCUAAAAACCCCGACUCGCGAAGGGGUGUAUUUAUUAGAUAAAAAACCAAUGCCCUUCGGGGCUCCUUGGUGAUUCAUGAUAACUUAACGAAUCGCAUGGCCUUGCGCCGGCGAUGGUUCAUUCAAAUUUCUGCCCUAUCAACUUUCGAUUGUAAGGUAUUGGCUUACAAUGGUUUCAACGGGUAACGGGGAAUUAGGGUUCUAUUCCGGAGAGGGAGCCUGAGAAACGGCUACCACAUCCAAGGAAGGCAGCAGGCGCGCAAAUUACCCAAUCCCGACCCGGGGAGGUAGUGACAAUAAAUACUGAUACAGGGCUCUUUUGGGUCUUGUAAUUGGAAUGAGNACAAUUUAAAUCCCUUAACGAGGAACAAUUGGAGGGCAAGUCUGGUGCCAGCAGCCGCGGUAAUUCC